GACGAACGCUGGCGGCGUGCCUAAUACAUGCAAGUCGAACGAACCGCGACUAGGUGCUUGCACUUGGUCAAGGUGAGUGGCGAAUGGGUGAGUAACACGUGGGUAACCUACCUCAUAGUGGGGGAUAACAGUCGGAAACGACUGCUAAUACCGCAUAGGACAUAGGAUCACAUGAUCCAGUGAGGAAAGUGGCGCAAGCUAUCGCUAAGAGAUGGACCCGCGGUGCAUUAGCUAG
rnacentral:rRNA from 1 species